GCUGUAGCUCAGUGGUAGAGUGCCUGCUUUGCAUGCACAAGGUCGCAGGUUCAAUCCUGGCAUCUCCA